UUAAAGUUCAUUUUGGGAAAAAAUUGUCGCCAUAAUUUUUAUUAGCGACAAAUCACACAUUUAUAAUUAUGUAGAUAUGUAGUAUUGAUUGCAAUUACCAGCCUUCACAUUCCGAGCGGAAAAAAAAAUAAAAAAUAAAAAAAUAAAAUAGCGUAGUACAUGUUUAUUAUUUUUUUUUUUAAAUAAGCUAAUUUAUAAUUUUUGUAAGGUGUGGUUUUUAAACUUUUACCAAUUUUAAGUGUUCUAUUUAAUUUUAUUAUCUAUCGAUUUUUUUUUUUUUAAAGGAAGAAACUUCAUGUGGUAAACAAUUUUUUAAAAAGGUAUAUUAUUUGAAAUAAUACGACCGAGCAGGGAACUAUGAUGAUUCUUUAUUGAGUCAGACGAAGAUGAUGAUGACGAGCAAGAGAUGCUCAGAAGAAUAAAACUUUCACCACUCUCCCUCAUCAAAGUGGUUCACUAUUAAAUAGUUAGGUGCCCAAUCAACGUGUUAACCCUUGGUGAUUUUGAAUUCAUUAGUGAGUCAGACAAAGAUGAUGAGCAAGAUGAUGCUUAGAAGAAUAAAACUAUUUCACCACUCUCCCUCAUCAAGGUGGUCCACUAUUAAAUAGUUAGGUGCCCAAUCAAUGUGUUAACCCUUGGUGAUUUUGAAUUCAUUAGUGAGUCAG